GGGGGAUUUACUGUAAAACAGAUGCUCUCCUGAUGGCCUAUUCCUGGACAUCCCUGAGGACUCUCAUAAUCAGAGUGGUGCAAUCCUUCUCAUCUCUCCUCCCAUCUCUUCCCUAUGACAUCUGUUUGAUCCUGUCUUGAGAAACUUUCAAGAAAAGAAGAUAUCAAGAUAAUCAUGAGGGCUGAUACUCUAAUGAUUCAACUCUGCCAGAAGACAGAUUCUUAAUACUUAGCCCUGCACAUUGACCAGCUCAAGCUAAAAAGCCAGAGCAUCUAUGACGCUCAGUUUUGCCUGCCAUCUUCUCUGGACUAAUGUU
rnacentral:lncRNA from 1 species